CCGGGGGUGGAGUAAUGUCUGGGAAACUAGCCUGAUGGAGGGGGGAGACGACUGGAAACGGUAGCUAAUACCGCAUAACGUCGCAGACCAAAGAGGGGGACCUUCGGGCCUCUUGCCAUCGGAUGUGCCCAGAUGGGAUUAGCUAGUAGGUGGGGUAACGGCUCACCUAGGCGACGAUCCCUAGCUGGUCUGAGAGGAUGGCCAGCCACACUGGAACUGAGACACGGUCCAG
rnacentral:rRNA from 1 species